GGGGAAUAUAGUAAAAGGGUGUGGGAGGGGUUUUUACUUUCUUGCAUCAAUAAAGGCUAGAUAUCAUGCUUUAGGAUUUUAACGUUUUUAGAAAUCCUGCCUAUAGGAUUGUCCAAUAUUUCUGAUUUAAGGUCACCUAGAUACUACGCCUAUAGGGUUUAACGUUUAAUUAUGAUACUUGUCAUCUACAAAUUCAGUCUAUUGGGCUUAAUGUUUUAAUCACAUUGCAAGUCACUAGAGAUCCUGCCUAUAGGACCUUAACGUUCAUGUAAGCAGUUG
rnacentral:lncRNA from 1 species